UCAAGUGAAGAAGCGCAUACGGUGGAUGCCUUGGCAGUCAGAGGCGAUGAAAGACGUGGUAGCCUGCGAAAAGCUUCGGGGAGUCGGCAAACAGACUUUGAUCCGGAGAUCUCUGAAUGGGGGAACCCACCUAGGAUAACCUAGGUAUCUUGUACUGAAUCCAUAGGUGCAAGAGGCGAACCAGGGGAACUGAAACAUCUAAGUACCCUGAGGAAAAGAAAUCAACCGAGAUUCCCUUAGUAGUGGCGAGCGAACGGGGAUUAGCCCUUAAGCUUCAUUGAUUUUAGCGGAACGCUCUGGAAAGUGCGGCCAUAGUGGGUGAUAGCCCCGUACGCGAAAGGAUCUUUGAAGUGAAAUCGAGUAGGACGGAGCACGAGAAACUUUGUCUGAACAUGGGGGGACCAUCCUCCAAGGCUAAAUACUACUGACUGACCGAUAGUGAACCAGUACCGUGAGGGAAAGGCGAAAAGAACCCCGGAGAGGGGAGUGAAAUAGAACCUGAAACCGUAUGCGUACAAGCAGUGGGAGCCUACUUGUUAGGUGACUGCGUACCUUUUGUAUAAUGGGUCAGCGACUUAUAUUCAGUGGCAAGCUUAACCGUAUAGGGUAGGCGUAGCGAAAGCGAGUCUUAAUAGGGCGUUUAGUCGCUGGGUAUAGACCCGAAACCGGGCGAUCUAUCCAUGAGCAGGUUGAAGGUUAGGUAACACUGACUGGAGGACCGAACCCACUCCCGUUGAAAAGGUAGGGGAUGACUUGUGGAUCGGAGUGAAAGGCUAAUCAAGCUCGGAGAUAGCUGGUUCUCCUCGAAAGCUAUUUAGGUAGCGCCUCAUGUAUCACUCUGGGGGGUAGAGCACUGUUUCGGCUAGGGGGUCAUCCCGACUUACCAAACCGAUGCAAACUCCGAAUACCCAGAAGUGCCGAGCAUGGGAGACACACGGCGGGUGCUAACGUCCGUCGUGAAAAGGGAAACAACCCAGACCGCCAGCUAAGGUCCCAAAGUUGUGGUUAAGUGGUAAACGAUGUGGGAAGGCUUAGACAGCUAGGAGGUUGGCUUAGAAGCAGCCAUCCUUUAAAGAAAGCGUAAUAGCUCACUAGUCGAGUCGGCCUGCGCGGAAGAUGUAACGGGGCUCAAACCACACACCGAAGCUGCGGGUGUCACGUAAGUGACGCGGUAGAGGAGCGUUCUGUAAGCCUGUGAAGGUGAGUUGAGAAGCUUGCUGGAGGUAUCAGAAGUGCGAAUGCUGACAUGAGUAACGACAAUGGGUGUGAAAAACACCCACGCCGAAAGACCAAGGGUUCCUGCGCAACGUUAAUCGACGCAGGGUUAGUCGGUUCCUAAGGCGAGGCUGAAAAGCGUAGUCGAUGGGAAACAGGUUAAUAUUCCUGUACUUCUGGUUACUGCGAUGGAGGGACGGAGAAGGCUAGGCCAGCUUGGCGUUGGUUGUCCAAGUUUAAGGUGGUAGGCUGAAAUCUUAGGUAAAUCCGGGGUUUCAAGGCCGAGAGCUGAUGACGAGUCGUCUUUUAGAUGACGAAGUGGUUGAUGCCAUGCUUCCAAGAAAAGCUUCUAAGCUUCAGGUAACCAGGAACCGUACCCCAAACCGACACAGGUGGUCGGGUAGAGAAUACCAAGGCGCUUGAGAGAACUCGGGUGAAGGAACUAGGCAAAAUGGCACCGUAACUUCGGGAGAAGGUGCGCCGGCUAGGGUGAAGGAUUUACUCCGUAAGCUCUGGCUGGUCGAAGAUACCAGGCCGCUGCGACUGUUUAUUAAAAACACAGCACUCUGCAAACACGAAAGUGGACGUAUAGGGUGUGACGCCUGCCCGGUGCCGGAAGGUUAAUUGAUGGGGUUAGCGCAAGCGAAGCUCUUGAUCGAAGCCCCGGUAAACGGCGGCCGUAACUAUAACGGUCCUAAGGUAGCGAAAUUCCUUGUCGGGUAAGUUCCGACCUGCACGAAUGGCGUAACGAUGGCGGCGCUGUCUCCACCCGAGACUCAGUGAAAUUGAAAUCGCUGUGAAGAUGCAGUGUAUCCGCGGCUAGACGGAAAGACCCCGUGAACCUUUACUGUAGCUUUGCACUGGACUUUGAGCCUGCUUGUGUAGGAUAGGUGGGAGGCUUUGAAGCGUGGACGCCAGUUCGCGUGGAGCCAUCCUUGAAAUACCACCCUGGCAUGCUUGAGGUUCUAACUCUGGUCCGU
rnacentral:rRNA from 2 species